rnacentral:rRNA from 5 species
AAAACAACUCUCGGCAACGGAUAUCUCGGCUCUCGCAUCGAUGAAGAACGUAGCAAACUGCGAUACUUGGUGUGAAUUGCAGAAUCCCGUGAACCAUCGAGUCUUUGAACGCAAGUUGCGCCCGAAGCCAUUAGGCCGAGGGCACGUCUGCCUGGGCGUCACGC